AUUAGACUACCCGGUAGUCCAGGGUGUAAACGCUGCAGACUUGGUGUUGGAAGUUCCGUUUGGGGGCAUUCAGUGCCGGAGAGAAGUUGUUAAGUCUGCUACGUUGGGGAGUACGUCCGCAAGGAUGAAAACUUAAAGGAAUUGGCGGGGGAGCACCGCAACGGGAGGAGCGUGCGGUUUAAUUGGAUUCAACACCGUAAACUCACCAGGGAAGACUGUUACAUGAAAGCCGAGAUGAAGACUCUGCUAGAUUUUCAG
rnacentral:rRNA from 1 species